rnacentral:lncRNA from 1 species
GAGGCGGCACCGAUCCGGACAGAUGAGGGCCAGGCAGCAGCAUCCUGGCAUGACCGCAGCAGGAGGGAGGAGCCAACGGUGCCACGUGGUUCCCAAAUGCCAAGCAUAGCCUGAGAGAGGAGGAAACAGGAGAGAAGGGGAGGCCGGGGGGCCGCUUGGUGCCCAAGAUUUCUCAGACGUCCCAGAGCCCUGACUCUGCUGCCAGCUUGCUUUACAGUGAGGCCAAGGAAGGAGCCACGGAGGGUGUGCUGGCCCUAGGAGCAGGAUUCCUGUGUGUUCACUAAGCUUGCAGCAUCAAGAAGCCACCAGCCAGCAUGGACAUGUGAGCGUCAGAGGGAGGGAAAACAAAACACUCAUGGGAAGAAGCGGGACCAGGCUCCAGCCGCAAAGUCGCCCUUCAUGCUUCACGCAAGAAAAAGGCCUCAGAGGGAGCUGUGAGGACAUGAUCAAAUCACUGUGCCAGCUGGUCACCAGGGGGCCACCACUCCAAGGAACCCUGAAGAUGGUGGACAGGAAUUAGGAAGUGUUGAACCGUCUUAGAUGGAAUGCUGUUCAUAUGAAAGCAAGACGCUCUAUCCUAGAAUUGCUUUUAUCAUUUGGUUCUAUUGCCACUUUUCGAAAAUUGUGUGACGUGAAGCAUGCAGAAAUAAAAAGAAGUAACACAGAAAUUCUCAGGUCCAUCAGCCAAGGGGGCCUUGCUGACUGCAGGCGGAGGUCUCAGGCCCGCCCAGCCCUGGCGUCUCCGCAGGGCUCUGACCCCGAGACAGCUCCACAGCCCCCUCUAUUCUCCCCCGGCGCUCACAAUUCAACAACAUGGACUUCAUAUUUGCCAUUUGACAACUUGCCUUUUUCUGAUAGGGCUCCAGUUGUGAAGUUAGCAAGAGCCUGAAGGCUUUUUUAAAAGGAAAGAAAAAAUGUAUAUUUUUCUAAAAAAAAAAAAUUCUAAGGGUGGUAAAUUCCCUUAAGGUAAAUCUGCUUCCCAGCUAAUGCAAGAGCUGCAAGCAGCUGGGAAAUGGGUGUUGUAUUGUCUAGCCUGGCUCUGGGAACGGAUUCAUAGCUGCUGCCUGGAAGGUUAAAAUGUGCAGAGGAUUCGUGGAGAACAAGGAGAAAACCAAGACAGUCAGUUCGGUUUGGUUCCUGAGGGGGAAGCCCUGGGCUCAUCAUGGACGCCUAGAGGAGCGGGCGGCAGAGGCAGCUCCAGGCAGCUCCCGAGGGGAACCUGGGUAUUUGGAAAUCCUGGGGGAGUAGCUGAGGGAGGUGAUUUAGAAGGUGAUACUUUGGGCCUCGUGUCUUUUCUUUGGCUCUCUGUUGCUGGAGCAGAAAGACAGAGCAGUCUCAGGCAUGCUUCCCUCCUCUCCUGGGCCAGCCUCGGAUCAGCUGAGAGCCACAGCAGGGAGGGUGGGAAACCCAGGCUGGUGUUCCUGAGACAGCUCCUCCCGCCUGCCCCUGUCUCCUUCUGCUGAGUAGAAACAAAGCACUUCUCCCCACGUGGCAACGUAAAUCAGGGAUGUGUCUUCAUCUCUAGUGAUAAAUAGGACUUUGUUUCAUUCAUUCUGAGGUGUUUAGAAAAGAACUGUUAAAAAAAAAAAAGCCAGAUUGUCCCUCAAAUUGUUCCUUCAAUGCCUGGACACCUUUCUCCAGCCCUAGCAGGGCAAACGUCUGGGGAUGUCAGACCGGACAGGAAAACCUUGAACUCCUUCAGAGCAGGAGGCUUUCCAGAAUUCCAGGACGUCCCAACUCUCCCGCCGUGAGUGGCAGCUCAGCAGACCCGGAAGGAAGUGCGACCACGACUUUCCGCACUGAGGUCCUCAGCAAAUGUUGAUCCACGGGCUCCACGGCGCAGCCAGCACCGACUUCUCCACCCACUGGCCACCGAACCCUGUUCUCGCCAAGGCCUCCUUUGUCCACGCCUCCGAGGAGCUCGGCCCGGUGGUCACAAGUGCAGCCAAGAAUGAGGGGCUAUUUGGGUCAGGCAAGCCUGCCAUGUUUCGGGAAAGUUGCCCCGGGGUUAGGAAACGCUCCAUCUGAGGGAAAUGGAGCUCCCCACCGGUUCUUGGAGCCCAGGCGUCGCCCACCCUGCUGGUUUUCUCUUUGGUGGGAUUGUCUUUGAAUUCCAUUGUUGGCCUAGUUUCCUGAGCCAAACCUCAAACAGCUUGGCUGAGAGAGCACAGAACAGGAAAAUCAGCUCGGAGAGAGGCUGGUCAUAAGGAAAUAGUCACUCGGCCGAUGACGUCCACAGUCCCCUGACGUCUGUCCCCAGCAUUGAGCAGCGGAAGCCACAGAUUCUUGAAGCGGGAAUUCAAGUCCUCAGGCAAAGGCGCAUUGUGACUGUCUGAUCAGCAUUUCCUAUUGAUCUCUUUACAAAUUACCUUUGUUCUCUAAGGCCAGGCAGGCAUCUGGAGGCUGGAGCGGGAGGGCCAUCGGGUGAGGCCCCGGCCAGCGCCUCAGACUGCCAGAGAGCCUCAGCCCCGCCCCACACCGUCCCAGGUCCCUGCCUGGAGGAUCUGGAGCUGGGGACUGCUGUGAGGUGGACACGGUGCAGCUGAUUCCAGGGCGCCCUGAGCUGAAGCAACACCGUGCAACCAGUCGCAGGUGCUCAGGACGAGCCGUACCAAGAGGGACGUUCCUCUGCCAGAUCAAACGUGGGGUGGUUGUUCGGCCCAAGGCUGCCCGUGCUGUUCCCUGCACCCCAGUAAGCCAGGUUAUGGGGUGAGCUCUGGCCCU